rnacentral:rRNA from 1 species
AGUCGAGCGAUGAAACUACUUCGGUAGUGAAUUAGCGGCGAACGGGUGAGGAACACGUGAGGAAUCUGCCUUCAACACUGGGAUAACUCCGGGAAACCGGGGCUAAUACCGGAUACGAGCCUUGAUCGCAUGAUCGAGGCUGGAAAGUUUUUCGGUUGAGGAUGACCUCGCGGCCUAUCAGCUUGUUGGUGAGGUAAUGGCUCACCAAGGCGACGACGGGUAGCCGGCCUGAGAGGGCGACCGGCCACACUGGGACUGAGACACGGCCCAGACUCCUACGGGAGGCAGCAGUGGGGAAUAUUGGGCAAUGGAGGAAACUCUGACCCAGCGACGCCGCGUGCGGGAUGAAGGCCUUCGGGUUGUAAACCGCUUUCAGUAGGGAAGAAGCGAAAGUGACGGUACCUACAGAAGAAGCACCGGCUAACUAUGUGCCAGCAGCCGCGGUAAUACAUAGGGUGCAAGCGUUGUCCGGAAUUAUUGGGCGUAAAGAGCUCGUAGGUGGUUUGAUACGUCGGGUGUGAAAUUCAGGGGCUCAACCCCUGACCUGCAUUCGAUACGGUCAAGCUAGAGUUUGGUAGGGGAGACUGGAAUUCCUGGUGUAGCGGUGGAAUGCGCAGAUAUCAGGAGGAACACCGAUGGCGAAGGCAGGUCUCUGGGCCAAUACUGACACUGAGGAGCGAAAGCGUGGGGAGCGAACAGGAUUAGAUACCCUGGUAGUCCACGCCGUAAACGGUGGGCGCUAGUUGUGCGAACCUUCCACGGUUUGUGCGACGCAGCUAACGCAUUAAGCGCCCCGCCUGGGGAGUACGAUC